GAGGGUGUAGCUCAAGCGGUAGAAUGCAUGCUUAGCACGCAUGAGUUCCUGGAUUCAAUCCCCAGUGCCUCCU
rnacentral:tRNA from 1 species